AUAUCAGUAAGCGGAGGAAAAGAAACUAACAAGGAUUCCCUCAGUAACGGCGAGUGAAGCGGGAAUAGCUCAAAUUUAAAAUCUGAUAGGGCAACCUAUCCGAAUUGUAAUUUAAAGAGGCGUUAUCUGGGUCCAACUAGUGCUCAAGUCCCUUGGAAUAGGGCGUCACAGAGGGUGAGAACCCCGUCUGGGCAUCAAGGUGGAUCCUAUAUGAGGCGCUCUCUAAGAGUCGAGUUGUUUGGGAAUGCAGCUCAAAAUGGGUGGUAAAUUUCAUCUAAGGCUAAAUACUGGCAAGAGACCGAUAGCGAACAAGUACCGUGAGGGAAAGAUGAAAAGCACCUUGAAAAGGGAGUUAAAUAGUGCGUGAAAUUGUUAAAAGGGAAACGAUUGAGACCAGUAUUGGGCUUGGUUGUUCAGUAACUAGUUGGUGCAAGCCCGCAAGUUAUGUAUUCAGCCAGGUCCGAGUCAGCGUCAGUUUGGGCACCUGGAGAGAGGUCAGAGGAAGAUGGGGUCUACCUUCGUGUAUUCCUUUUAUAGACUCUGGCUGGCACAGGAAUCCGGACUGAGGUGAGCGACCGUAGUACUCAUCGAUCGAGACCAGCCCCCAAAGCCUAGGACUACACGUAGACCCGGGCCGCAAGGGAAGGAAGUAGGUCGAUGCAUACGGUUCCAGGAUGCUGACGAAAUGGUCUUAAACGA
rnacentral:rRNA from 1 species